rnacentral:tRNA from 1 species
GAAGUGGUAGUUCAGUGGUAGAAUUCUCACCUUUUGUAUGGGAGUCCCUGGUUUGAUUCCUAGCCAGUGCA